AAGUCGUAACAAGGUUUCCGUAGGUGAACCUGCGGAAGGAUCAUUACCGAGUUAGGGUCUCCUCCGCGAGGCCCGACCUCCCAACCCUGUGUCUAAUAAACCUGUAUGUGUUGCUUCGGCGGACCGGCGUCUCUCUCUCUCGCUCGCGGGAGGGAUCGCCGCCGGGGAAAUCCACGGCUGUCAUGGCCGUCCCCUGGAGGGUGUUCGCCGAUGGCCCCAACCAAACAAAUUCCAAAUACGAACAAUAGUACAAAAACCUUCUGAAUCAGAUCUUUGAUAUAACAAUCAAAAACAAAA
rnacentral:misc_RNA from 1 species